CCCAAAAAAAAGACCGAACACGAUUCCUGUAUUCGGUCCAGGGAAAUGGCUCUUGGGAGAGAGCCGUGCGCUAAAAGUUGGCAUUAAUGCAGGCUAAGUCGCCUGGCACUUUAAGAAUAGAUGACGACGCCAGGUUUUCCAGUCC
rnacentral:sRNA from 1 species